CGAGACCUCAGGUCAGGCGGGACUACCCGCUGAGUUUAAGCAUA
rnacentral:rRNA from 1 species